GAUGAACGCUAGCGAUAGGCUUAACACAUGCAAGUCGAGGGGCAGCACAAGGUAGCUUGCUAUCUGGGUGGCGACCGGCGCACGGGUGCGUAACGCGUAUGCAACUUGCCCUAUACAGGAGGAUAACCCGUCGAAAGACGGACUAAUACUGCGUAUGCUCACAACUUGGCAUCAAGUGGUGAGGAAAGAAAUUCGGUAUAGGAUAGGCAUGCGUCCCAUUAGCUUGUUGGUGAGGUAACGGCUCACCAAGGCAACGAUGGGUAGGGGAACUGAGAGGUUUAUCCCCCACACUGGUACUGAGACACGGACCAGACUCCUACGGGAGGCAGCAGUGAGGAAUAUUGGUCAAUGGGCGCGAGCCUGUACCAGCCAAGUCGCGUGAAGGAGGACUGUCUUAUGGAUUGUAAACUUCUUUUAUACGGGAAUAACAAGAGUCACGUGUGACUCCCUGCAUGUACCGUAUGAAUAAGCAUCGGCUAACUCCGUG
rnacentral:rRNA from 1 species